rnacentral:piRNA from 1 species
UCCUGUUUGAGUUCCUGUCCUGACUUCCU